rnacentral:sRNA from 1 species
GCCAGGUGCAGUAAUGCAUGCCUGUAAUCCCAGCAGCUUGAGAGGCUGAGGCAGGAGGAUCACAAGUUCAAAGCCAGCCUCAGCAACUUGGCGAGGCCCUGAGCUGUGAGACCCUGUCUCAA